CUGAGUUUGAAUUCGAAAGAUUUCAUCUCCCACCCUUUGUUUACAAGACCUGUUGCUUCGGCGAGAUUGAUGUUUUUUUUCAUCAGUUGAUUGACACUUGUCAAUGAGCUUUGCUUGCCGAAGUUUUUUACAACUCUUUUUAUUUUGAUAUUUUUUUACAAAAACAAAAAAAAUUA
rnacentral:misc_RNA from 1 species